CCACAAACCAGAGCUAGGGGAAAGCUAGGGCUAGCAAAUGACAGGCAGGAUCUGUGUGAUCGCCUGGAAGCACGUUACGGCCUAAGAGGAAGAUAUAGGCGGAAUGUAGUGGACUGAUUAGGAAUACGGAUGUUACCUUAGCAGAGGUGGAUGACCCUUUUCCCACCCUGGUGGUUUUGAUUUACUAGCCGGUCCUGCUGCUCCAGACUGUGGGCAGUGCUGGAUGCUGCUGGUCAUCCUGAAUCCAUCCUCUGCUCUUCUCCUCUCCCUCCUCUCAACCUCGGCCGUCUACCUCCACUGCAGAAAUACAGCCGGUCCUGCUGCUCCAGAUUGUGGGCAGUGCUGGAUGCUGCUGGUCAUCCUGAAUCCAUCCUCUGCUCUUCUCCUCUCCCCUCUCAACCUCGGCCGUCUACCUCCACUGCAGAAAUACAGCCGGUCCUGCUGCUCCAGACUGUGGACAGUGCUGGAUGCUGCUGGUCAUCCUGAAUCCAUCCUCUGCUCUUCUCCUCUCCCUCCUCUCAACCUCGGUCGUCUACCUCCACUGCAGAAAUAAAGCCACCAAAGACCCCAGAGUUUAUCCGACAACACCUGACUCAGGAAGUAGAACUCAGGACAUCAGCUUCCAGAACGCUUCACCCAGUUCCUAGUUUUCCUUAACUUCCUAGUUGUGUUUUUAACUUCAUACAUGCGAGAACCAUCCACGGUGAAAAGCUAUAGCUGUACUGACACUGUUGUAUUCAGACGGUGUCUCUUCAUAACAACAUCCUGCAAAGGCUGGCAGCAAAUAUUACUCAGUUUUAUUCUUACAAUAAUGGAUUUAAUAUAGGAGAUAUAUGACCUCAACUUCUUUUUUUUACUGACUCAAAUCAGGUAUGAAAGUUUUAAAUAAACUGCCAUGCAAAAUCUUUGGAUUUUAUUGAUUUGUUUAUACAUUUUAUCAAAACAUAUAAC
ensembl:lncRNA